rnacentral:rRNA from 1 species
CAGGGAUUGCCUCAGUAACGGCGAGUGAAGCGGCAACAGCUCAAAUUUGAAAUCUGGCCCUUUCGGGGUCCGAGUUGUAAUUUGUAGAGGGUGUUUCGGGCGCGGCGCCGGUCUAAGUCCCUUGGAACAGGGCGUCACAGAGGGUGAGAAUCCCGUAUGUGACCGGUGACCAACCCCAUGUGAAACCCCUUCGACGAGUCGAGUUGUUUGGGAAUGCAGCUCAAAAUGGGUGGUAAAUUUCAUCUAAAGCUAAAUACCGGCCAGAGACCGAUAGCGCACAAGUAGAGUGAUCGAAAGAUGAAAAGCACUUUGGAAAGAGAGUCAAACAGUACGUGAAAUUGUUGAAAGGGAAGCGCUUGCAACCAGACCUGUCCGCGGGCGUUCAGCCUCCGUUCUCGGGGGCGCACUCGUCCGCGAUCAGGCCAGCAUCGGUUCGGGCGGCGGGACAAAGGCCUUGGGAAUGUAGCUCCCCUCGGGGAGUGUUAGAGCCCUCGGUGCAAUGCCGCCAGCCCGGACCGAGGACCACGCUUCGGCUAGGAUGCUGGCGUAAUGGUUGUAAGCGACCCGUCUUGAAACACGGACCAAGGAGUCUAACAUCUAUGCGAGUGUUUGGGUGUCAAACCCAUGCGCGCAAUGAAAGUGAACGGAGGUGAGAACCCCCCGCGGGGCGCAUCAUCGACCGAUCCAGAUGUCUUCGGAUGGAUUUGAGUACGAGCAUAGCUGUUGGGACCCGAAAGAUGGUGAACUAUGCCUGAAUAGGGUGAAGCCAGAGGAAACUCUGGUGGAGGCUCGCAGCGGUUCUGACGUGCAAAUCGAUCGUCAAAUUUGGGUAUAGGGGCGAAAGACUAAUCGAACCAUCUAGUAGCUGGUUCCUGCCGAAGUUUCCCUCAGGA